rnacentral:rRNA from 1 species
GGGUAGCUGUAGGCAAAUCCGCAGCGAUAUCCUGAAGCAUGGGACAAAGACGUUUAUGUUUCGAUAGUCAUCCGAAAGACGUCCAAGAAAAGCUUCUAGGGUUGAUGGCAUGUGACCGUACUAAAACUGACACAGGUAGGCGGGACGAGAAGUCCUAGGCGCUCGGGAGAACACUGGUUAAGGAACUCUGCAAAAUGGCCCCGUAAGUUCGCGAUAAGGGGUGCCCUCUUUGGUUUACGCUGAGGAGGGUCACAGUAAAUCGGCAUCAGCGACUGUUUAUCAAAAACACAGGACUCUGCUAACUCGCAAGAGGAUGUAUAGAGUCUGACGCCUGCCCGGUGCUGGUAGGUUAAGGAAGAGGGUUAGCCGUAAGGUGAAGCCCGCGACCGAAGCCCCAGUAAACGGCGGCCGUAACUAUGACGGUCCUAAGGUAGCGAAGUUCCUUGUCGGGUAAGUUCCGACCUGCAUGAAAGGCGUAACGACUGAUGCACUGUCUCAACCAGUGACCCGGUGAAAUUGUAGCCGUGGUGAAGAUGCCACGUACCCGCAGUAUGACGGAAAGACCCCGUGAACCUUUACUGUAGGCUGAUAUUGGUCUUGGACGUGUUCUGUGUAGGAUAGGUGGGAGGCUUUGAAGCAGUGACGCUAGUCAUUGUGGAGCCAACGUUGAAAUACCACCCUGGAUUCGUUUGAGUUCUAACGCUGAUUCCCGUGAAUCCGGGCAGCGGACAGUUUCAGUUGGGCAGUUUGACUGGGGCGGUCUCCUCCCAAAGAGUAACGGAGGAGUUCAAAGGUACCCUCAGCCUGGUUGGCAAUCAGGCAUUGAGCGCAAAGGUAGAAGGGUGCUUGACUGCGAGACUCAUAAGUCGAGCAGAUACGAAAGUAGGACUUAGUGAUCCGGUGGUUCUGAAUGGAAGGGCCAUCGCUCAUCAGAUAAAAGGUACUCCGGGGAUAACAGGCUUAUCGCUUCCGAGCGUCCAUAGCGGCGAAGCGGUUUGGCACCUCGAUGUCGGCUCAUCACAUCCUGGGGGUGGAGAAGCUCCCAAGGGUUUGGCUGUUCGCCAAUGAAAGUGGUACGUGAGCUGGGUUCAGACCGUCGUGAGACAGGUCGGUCCCUAUCUGCUGUGGGCGUACGAAACUUGCGAGGAUUCUUCUUUAGUACGAGAGGAUUUGGAAGGACGUUCCUCUGGUGUACCAGUUGUCGCGCUAGCGGCACGGCUGGAUAGCUAAGAACGGAAAGGAUAAACGCUGAAAGCAUAUAAGCGUGAAGCCCGCCUCAAGAUCAGGUUUCGUAGGGUUUAACCCGAAAGUCCCCUGAAAGACGAUCAGGUUAAUAGGCCGGAUGUGUACGUGCAGUAAUGCACUCAGCUAACCGGUACUAACGGACGAUUGCUUGACCAC